rnacentral:rRNA from 1 species
ACCCGCGGCGAUAGCACGUUGAAUACACCAGUUCCCCACGGAUCACUGAAGUUAAGCAACGUUGCGCGUGGUUAGUACC